UCGAGUCUGGCUGCGCUGGCGAUUUGGGCCGUUGGACCUCGAAGUGGUGUAGGGCUCAGGCGAUGCCCAGGCUCCCCGAGCCCAGCGAGGGAGUAUAUCCUAUUGAAGAAAUACAGUGAAGAUAUUGUGUUCCAAACUCAGUUGUAAUAAUUUUUUUCUCAGUGUGGUGAAGACAACAAUGCCAGCUUGAUCGGGAAUCAGGCUGGCACAUCACUGGGAGAGUGAAGAAACUUAUGCAUUUGCCACUGUGGAGAGCCAGCUGUGUCAGUCUUGUGAUUAAAAUGCUCCUUGAGGAGCUAGAGGAGUUUGUCUUCUAGUGGGAGGACAGACGUGUGUACACCAAUAAUUCUCAGGCAGUGUGACAAGUGCUGUGUGAGCUGCUCGAGGAAGGAGGGACAUCUUUGCAUUGCCUGGGAACGCCUAGGGAAUGGGAGAUGAUUGACAUCUUGAAGGUGAGGAGAUAC